UCAGAUUGCAAAUUUGAAAACGCUUCCUUUAUUGGUGCCGGGGCUUCUCCCGUUU
rnacentral:tRNA from 1 species